rnacentral:lncRNA from 10 species
ACCUGCCUACGUGAAGGGCUGAAGACGCGACAUUUCCUGACAGAGGUUGCUAUGUCUAGCAGCAUGAGCCUCUCCAUGAAGGCAUGAGGGGAGAAGACCUCUUCUCUACCUUGUCCCAGGUCUUCCAGGAUUGGUGUCUCCUUUGAGAAGCAGGACUGCUUUUAUAAGUCUUAGGUCUAGUGGAAGCUGCUUCGGAGCCAUGGAGAAAAGGCAGCCUGCGCUGAUUGACCAUGAGCCUAAGUACACUGCAUGAACCUUUGGAAGUACCUCUUCUAUGUCUGCCUGAACAAUCAUACCUCAUUAAACAUAAGAUGAAAUAAAGACAUUUCAAGUCAGAGAAGAGUUGAUCAAUUUCCUGCCACAGAAUGACAUUAAACAGUAAAAGAAGUUUCUUGAGCUGAAAGAAAAGUCCAGAAGAUCCUACAGCCCUGCUUCGGGAUGGGAAAGGUAAAAGUUGCUCUCCCCACUGUAAAGACGAAGAAAGUGGGAUGUGGAAAGGUGAUAACCCUGCACACAGCACAGUCAGAGUCAAGACUCAGGACAAUCUCCCACCCUGCUCCUGUCCCCUUAUAGCAAUGGUACUUGGAGCUCAGAAGGAGGAGAGGAAGCUGCGGCUUGGAGACCGUUCAGAGGCAGCCGUGGAAAAUCCCGGCUUGAGCUGGACUGGGCAGCUGGCGAGUGCCGGGGCAGAAAAGCGCGCAGGCCGGGCCAGUGGGGGAGCACACGCAGCUGCACACAGGACAGAAGGCCCACGCAUCUCAAGAUGCGCACAUGCAUUCGGUUUCUUCCUGCAUAAAGUCACUGACUAGGUAAAUCUGCCAUGUUUAGUCAUCACCAGCUGCAUCAGUGCUGCAGAGUUUGGCCUACAUAUGCGUUCUAUCACCCAGGAGACUUGGAUAGAGAUGCUGGCUCCGUCGUGGCAACUUCACACUGCAGGAUUGAAAUCACAGGGGUUCUUCACAGAAGGGUGCAGGGGUCUGGGUGUGAGCAAGGCUGAGAGGCCAGAGCCACGGCCUCCAGGGCUGCACAGCCUGUGCAACUCACUCUGGCCAUUUGUGCUUAGGCCAGCAAUAACCUCCCUCGGCAGAGGGACAUCAAUCUUGUUUUAAUAUGCCAUGAAUCUUUUGUUAUUCCUGACUGUUGACUAGACAUAGAUUAUUGCCAUAUUAUAUGCCAUAUUGCAAAUAACAAUAAAUAACCAGG